GCCUGGGUGGCUCAGUCGGUUGAGCAUCCGACUUCAGCUCAGGUCAUGAUCUCACAGUCCGUGGGUUCGAGCCCCAUGUAGGGCU
rnacentral:tRNA from 1 species